AUUAACGCUGUCAGGGCUUCAACAAAAUGGCCGCUGUUGAUGUUUUCUAAUACUGAAUGCAAAGGGUGUCGGCGGAGACAUAAGAGGGCAAGGUUUUACAGAAAGACAGAAAUAACUAAACUGAAGUAGUUGCUAUGGAGAGAAACCAAUGAUCUGAAUUGCUGCGUCAGGCAAAAUAUAGCAGCGGUGAGUGCAGUGCAUUGACGGGACAACAGCUUGGAAUGCAUAUCACGAUUUUCACUCUCUGAAGCUUUCUUUGCCGCUUGAACAAACUGAUGAUACGUGAAUGCUGAGGACUACUACAGAUUCGGGGACUACGUCGAUGACCAACAUUUUUUUAAAAAUCUUUUAAUAAAAUGGUUAAAGAGGGCUUGUGGGGGAGUGUUUUUGGGAUUAAAACAUGUGUUGUGUUUUCUUUAUUUAUUUUACAGGCUUAGUAGUGGGAGCUGUUUUAUAGACGGAAUCCAUUACUAAGCCGGGGCUUAUCGUUAGCCCCAAAACCAGCUAGUACUAACCCCCCAAUUAUUACCCUGGUACCCACCGCCGGUGGAGUGCCAGGAAGAGCAGGUACCAAUAGGCCUGGAGCGUCAAAUAUGGCGUUCCUGGGCCUAGGUAGUAACAGGCUGGCUUUAUUUAGGCUAGGGAGGGCAGAAACAAUGGUCCUCGCCUACCCU